UUGAACAUUCGGCAUUUUGAACGCAUAUUGCGGCCAUGGGUUAGCCUGUGGCCACGCCUGUCCGAGGGUCGG
rnacentral:rRNA from 1 species